rnacentral:rRNA from 1 species
GUUAACCGUAGGGGGACGCAGGAAGGUAGGUCAUCCCAGGUGAUGGUUAUCCUGGGGUAAGCUCGUAGGGAGUGUGAUAGGAAAAUCCGUUGCACAUUAAUCCUGAGAAGCGAUGCCGAGACUUUAUGUCGAAGUGACUGAUCCUAUGCUGCCUAGAAAAGCCUAGCGGUGAGUUCAUAUGGUGCCCGUACCCCAAACCGACACAGGUGGAUAAGUAGAGAAUACUAAGGAGAGCGAGAUAACUCUGGUUAAGGAACUCGGCAAAAUGCCCCCGUAACUUCGGGAUAAGGGGGGCCUCGAUAGAGUGAGAGACUUCGCGUCUCAAGCUUGAGGAGGCCGCAGUGACUAGAGCCAAGCGACUGUUUACCAAAAACACAGGUGCAUGCUAAGCCGCAAGGCGAUGUAUAUGCACUGACGCCUGCCCAAUGCUGGAAGGUCACGGAGAGAGGUUAGGACUUGUUCCGAAGCUUUGAACCCAAGCCCCAGUGAAUGGCGGCCGUAACUAUAACGGUCCUAAGGUAGCGAAAUUCCUUGUCGGGUAAGUUCCGACCUGCACGAAUGGCGUAACGACUUGGCUACUGUCUCAACCGGAGACUCGGCGAAAUUGCAAUACGAGUAAAGAUGCUCGUUACCCGCACCAGGACGGGAAGACCCCGUGCACCUUUACUGCAACUUGAUGUUGGGUUUUGGUACAGACUGUGUAGGAUAGGUGGGAGACUUUGAAGCCGUGGCGUCAGCCAUGGUGGAGUCAACCUUGAAAUACCACCCUGUUUGUAUCGGGACCUCUCACCACAGCCCCUAGAUCGGGGCUUGGGACAGCGUCAGGUGGGUAGUUUGACUGGGGCGGUCGCCUCCUAAAGAGUAUCGGAGGCGUCCAAAGUUUCACUCAGCCUGGUUGGCAAUCAGGCGUUGAGCGCAAAAGUAUAAGUGAAAUUGACUGUGAGACCUACAAGUCAAGCAGGGACGAAAGUCGGGUUUAGUGACCCAGCGGCAGCUUGUGGAAGCGCCGUUGAUUAACGGAUAAAAGGUACGCCGGGGAUAACAGGCUCAUUUUGCCCAAUAGUUCACAUAGACGGCAAAGUUUGGCACCUCGAUGUCGGCUCGUCGCAUCCUGGGGGUGUAGCAACUCCCAAGGGUUGGGCUGUUCGCCCAUUAAAGCGGUACGCGAGCUGGGUUCAGAACGUCGCGAGACAGUUCGGUCCCUAUCCGGUGUGGGCGUAAGAGAUUUGAGGAAAUCUAUUCCUAGUACGAGAGGACCGGAAUGGACGUGGCUCUCGUGUGACAGUUGUCCUGCCAAGGGCAUGGCUGUUUAGCGACCCACGGAAAAGAUAAACGCUGAAAGCAUCUAAGCGUGAAACUUGUUCCAAGAUAAGAUCUCUCACACGGUUUAAACGUGGUAAGACCCCUUAUAGACUAUGAGGUUGAUAGGCCAGAAGUGUAAGAACAGUGAUGUUCUCAGCUGACUGGUACUAAUCGGUCGAGGACUUGAGUU